AUUGAACGCUGGCGGCAUGCCUUACACAUGCAAGUCGAACGGUAACGGGCCUUCGGGUGCCGACGAGUGGCGAACGGGUGAGUAACAUAUCGGAACGUACCUUUCAGUGGGGGAUAACGUAGCGAAAGUUACGCUAAUACCGCAUAUUCUGUGCGCAGGAAAGCAGGGGGCCUUCGGGCCUGGCGCUGAUUGAGCGGCCGAUAUCAGAUUAGCUAGUUGGUGAGGUAAAGGCUCACCAAGGCGACGAUCUGUAGCGGGUCUGAGAGGAUGAUCCGCCACACUGGAACUGAGACACGGUCAAGACUCCUACGGGAGGCAGCAGUGGGGAAUUUUGGACAAUGGGGGCAACCCGGAUCCAGCCAUGCCGCGUGAGUGAAGAAGGCCUUCGGGUUGUAAAGCUCUUUCGGCCGGGAAGAAAUCGUAUGGGCUAAUACCCUGUGCGGAUGACGGUACCGGCAUAAGAAGCACCGGCUAACUACGUGCCAGCCGCCGCGGUAA
rnacentral:rRNA from 1 species